rnacentral:rRNA from 1 species
GACGAACGCUGGCGGCGUGCUUAACACAUGCAAGUCGAACGAGACGAUUGAAAGCUUGCUUUCGAAAGUCGAGUGGCAAACGGGUGAGUAACGCGUAAACAACCUGCCUUUGAGAUGGGGACAACAGUUCGAAAGGACUGCUAAUACCGAAUGUUGUAUAUUUUCCACAUGGAAGAUAUAUUAAAGAUGGCCUCUAUUUAUAAGAUAUCGCUCAAAGAUGGGUCCGCGUCUGAUUAGCUGGUUGGUGGGGUAACGGCCUACCAAGGCGACGAUCAGUAGCCGGUCUGAGAGGAUGAACGGCCACAUUGGGACUGAGACACGGCCCAGACUCCUACGGGAGGCAGCAGUGGGGAAUCUUCCACAAUGGACGAAAGUCUGAUGGAGCAAUGCCGCGUGAGUGAAGAAGGGUUUCGGCUCGUAAAGCUCUGUUGUCGGGGACGAAUGUGCAGUAUUUGAAUAAAGUACUGCAAUGACGGUACCUGACGAGGAAGCCACGGCUAACUACGUGCCAGCCGCCGCGGUAA